rnacentral:rRNA from 1 species
AGAUUGAACGCUGGCGGCGUGCUUUACACAUGCAAGUCGAACGGUAACAGGCCGCAAGGUGCUGACGAGUGGCGAACGGGUGAGUAAUGUAUCGGAACGUGCCCAGUCGUGGGGGAUAACGCAGCGAAAGCUGCGCUAAUACCGCAUACGAUCUAUGGAUGAAAGCGGGGGACCGUAAGGCCUCGCGCGAUUGGAGCGGCCGAUAUCAGAUUAGGUAGUUGGUGGGGUAAAGGCUCACCAAGCCAACGAUCUGUAGCUGGUCUGAGAGGACGACCAGCCACACUGGGACUGAGACACGGCCCAGACUCCGUACGGGAGGCAGCAGUGGGGUAAUUUUGGACAAGUGGGCGCAACGCCUGACUCCAGCAAUGCCGCGUGCAGGAAGAAGGCCGUUCGGUUAGUAACGUGUCGUUUUGUAACGGAACGUAAACCGGUCCGUUAGGUUAACUUACCGUA